GUCUGGGUGGUGUAGUUGGUUAUCACGCUAGUUUCACACACUAGAGUCCCCAGUUCAAACUGGGCUCAGACA
rnacentral:tRNA from 1 species